rnacentral:lncRNA from 1 species
ACACCUUCUUGAGCUUUUGCUGCUGCACGACGCGCGCCUUCUUGGGAGCGAUAACACGACCUGGGGAAAGAUGUGCUCACGUGAGGCCGGGAAGCCGGGGGUCCACCUCGCCCCCAAGUCCCCGGGCCGCUCCUUACCGCCUUUUCUUGGGCCCCGAUUCUUUUCAGAGGCUGCCGCUGCCGUCUUACUCUUUGCGGGUUUGUGCGCCUGAAACUUGCGCUGCCCCUGCGCCAUGGUCCGGCACGCAGCGGAAGAGGCGGGACUGUGAGCAGUCGUAGCCGGAAGGCACAGGGAACCAUGGGAUACAGCGGGGCGGAAAAACGCAAGAACUCACGGGAUACAACGUGGCACAGAGUUAAAGAGACAGCAUCCCACAAGGGUAGUGUAGUGGAUCACAGUUGGAGUUUUCAAACAUUACGAACAAAACGGUGACAAUGAUAAGCUAACGUUUAUUGAGAGCUUAUGUGUUUUAGAAAACUUACAACGUUUUAUGAUCUUUACACAUAAAAACUCAGACUAGGUUAGGGUGUGGCACUCACCUCUGGUACAGAAUUUAAGAAGGUUCAAAAACUUUGGUAAUAGUAAACAAUAUUUUCAAGACUUAAAAAAUAUUUUAAUAUCCAAAAUAAUCAAAUUGUUAAACUACAUCCUGCAGACCGGCAGCAUAAUUUUGUAAAUAAAGUUUUAGUGGAACCAGGGUGUUGAGGUCAGUAAGCUCAAGGCACAAGUGCGGGGUUCUAGCCUCUUCAAAAUUUUAUUUAGGCCGGGCACGGUGGCUCACGCUUGUAAUCCCAGCACUUUCGGAGGCCGCGGGGCGCGGAUCACCCGAGGUCAGGAGUUGGAGACCAGCCACGACUAACAUGGUGUCUCCAAUAAAAAUACAAAAAUUAGCCAGGCAUAGUGCCAGGCUCCUGUAAUCCCAGCUACUCGGGAGGCUGAGGCAGGAGAGUCGCUUGAACCCAGAAGGCGGAGGUUGCAGUGAGCUGAGAUGGCACCACUGUACUCCAGCCUGGGCGACAGAGCGAGACCCCGUCUCAAACAAAUACUUGUUUUGUUCAUCAUGGAUUUUUUUUUUUUUUUAAAGAGAUGGGGUCUCACUCUGUUGCUUAGGGUGAAGUGCAGUAGUGCAAUCAAAGCACACUGCAUCCUUGAACUCCUGGGCUCAAGCCAUCCUCCCACUUCAGCCUGAGUAGCUGGGGCUAGAGGUGUGAGUUCCAUGCCCAGCUCAUUGUUUUUAAAUUUUUGUUUGUAGAGACAAGCUCUUCCUAUGUUACCCAAACUGGUCUCAAACACCUGGGCUCAAGGGAUCCUCCCAAAGUGCUGGAAUUACAGGCAUGAGCCACCAAGCCUGGCCUCAUCAUGGAUUUUUGCAUUAAUUUUGAUUUUUAAAAAAUACUGCUGUAAGGUCAGGCACAGUGGCUCAUGCCUGUAGUCCCAGCACUUUGGGAGGCUGAGGCAGGCUAGGGAGAGCUGAGUUGGUUACAUCUGGGGUCCAUCUAGGGUUCCAUCCCUGGAAGAGAUGGUGGUGGUUAGGGCUGUCCGGAGCUCCUCAGGGGCAAAGACCCCCAGUUCUGUGAUGAUGCCACCAGUGAUGAGGUCGUGGGGGGUGACAUCGAAGGCAGGAUUCCAAACUCCAAUCCCUG